rnacentral:rRNA from 1 species
AUUGAACGCUGGCGGAAUGCUUUACACAUGCAAGUCGAACGGCAGCACGGACUUCGGUCUGGUGGCGAGUGGCGAACGGGUGAGUAAUACAUCGGAACGUGCCCAGUCGUGGGGGAUAACGUAGCGAAAGCUACGCUAAUACCGCAUACGAUCUAAGGAUGGAAGCGGGGGAUCGCAAGACCUCGCGCGAUUGGAGCGGCCGAUGGCAGAUUAGGUAGUUGGUGGGGUAAAGGCUCACCAAGCCGACGAUCUGUAGCUGGUCUGAGAGGACGACCAGCCACACUGGGACUGAGACACGGCCCAGACUCCUACGGGAGGCAGCAGUGGGGAAUUUUGGACAAUGGGCGCAAGCCUGAUCCAGCCAUUCCGCGUGCAGGAUGAAGGCCCUCGGGUUGUAAACUGCUUUUGUACGGAACGAAAAGGCUCUGGUUAAUACCUGGGGCUCAUGACGGUACCGUAAGAAUAAGCACCGGCUAACUACGUGCCAGCCGCCGUAAUAC